rnacentral:rRNA from 1 species
UACGUAGGGGGCAAGCGUUGUCCGGAUUUAUUGGGCGUAAAGCGCGCGUAGGCGGCGCGGUAUGUCGUGCGUGAAAUCUUCCGGCUUAACUGGGAGGGGCCGUGCGAAACUGCCGGGCUUGAGGUCGGAAGGGGAAAGUGGAAUUCCGGGUGUAGUGGUGGAAUACGUAGAUAUCCGGAGGAACACCAGCGGCGAAGGCGGCUUUCUGGUCCGAUACUGACGCUGAGGUGCGAAAGCGUGGGGAGCGAUCCGG